ensembl:lncRNA
AGGGGGUACAGGUUAGUAAUGAGACUAUAUACAGGGGGUACAGGUUAGUAAUGAGACUAUAUACAGGGGGUACAGGUUAGUAAUGAGACUAUAUACAGGGGUACAGGUUAGUAAUGAGACUAUAUACAGGGGGUACAGGUUAGUAAUGAGACUAUAUACAGGGGGUACAGGUUAGUAAUGAGACUAUAUACAGGGGUUACAGGUUAGUAAUGAGACUAUAUACAGGGGUACAGGUUAGUAAUGAGACUAUAUACAGGGGUACAGGUUAGUAAUGAGACUAUAUACAGGGGGUACCGGUACCGAGUCAGUGUGCAGGGCUACAGGUUAGUAAUGAGACUAUAUACAGGGGUACAGGUUAGUAAUGAGACUAUAUACAGGGGGUACCGGUACCGAGUCAGUGUGCAGGGCUAUAGGUUAGUAAUGAGACUAUAUACAGGGGUACAGGUUAGUAAUGAGACUAUAUACAGGGGGUACAGGUUAGUAAUGAGACUAUAUACAGGGGUACAGGUUAGUAAUGAGACUAUAUACAGGGGGUACAGGUUAGUAAUGAGACUAUAUACAGGGGGUACAGGUUAGUAAUGAGGCUAUAUACAGGGGGUACAGGUUAGUAAUGAGGUUAUAUACAGGGGGUACAGGUUAGUAAUGAGACUAUAUACACGGGGUACAGGUUAGUAAUGAGACUAUAUACAGGGGGUACAGGUUAGUAAUGAGACUAUAUACAGGGGGUACAGGUUAGUAAUGAGACUAUAUACAGGGGGUACCGGUACAGAGUCAAUGUGUGGGGGUACAGGUUAGUAAUGAGACUAUAUACAGGGGGUACCGGUACCGAGUCAAUGUGUGGGGGUACAGGUUAGUAAUGAGACUAUAUACAGGGGGUACCGGUACCGAGUCAAUGUGCGGGGGUACAGGUUAGUAAUGAGGCUAUAUACAAGGGGUACCGGUACCGAGUCAAUGUGUGGGGGUACAGGUUAGUAAUGAGACUAUAUACAGGGGGUACCGGUACAGAGUCAAUGUGCGGGGGUACAGGUUAGUAAUGAGACUAUAUACAGGGGGUACCGGUACCGAGUCAAUGUGUGGGGGUACAGGUUAGUAAUGAGACUAUAUACAGGGGGUACCGGUACCGAGUCAAUGUGUGGGGGUACAGGUUAGUAAUGAGACUAUAUACAGGGGGUACCGGUACCGAGUCAAUGUGCGGGGGUACAGGUUAGUAAUGAGACUAUAUACAGGGGGUACCGGUACCGAGUCAAUGUGCGGGGGUACAGGUUAGUAAUGAGACUGUAUACAGGGGGUACCGGUACCGAGUCAAUGUGCGGGGGUACAGGUUAGUAAUGAGACUAUAUACAGGGGGUACCGGUACCGAGUCAAUGUGCGGGGGUACAGGUUAGUAAUGAGACUAUAUACAGGGGGUACCGGUACCGAGUCAAUGUGCGGGGGUACAGGUUAAUAAUGAGACUAUAUACAGGGGGUACCGGUACCGAGUCAAUGUGCGGGGGUACAGGUUAGUAAUGAGGAUAUAUACGGGGGGGUACCGGUACCGAGUCAAUGUGCGGGGUUACAGGUUAGUAAUGAGACUAUAUACAGGGGGUACCGGUACCGAGUCAAUGUGCGGG